rnacentral:rRNA from 1 species
ACAGCAGCCGCCGCGGUAAUACGGAGGGUGCAAGCGUUAAUCGGAAUUACUGGGCGUAAAGCGCACGCAGGCGGUUUGUUAAGUCAGAUGUGAAAUCCCCGAGCUUAACUUGGGAACUGCAUUUGAAACUGGCAAGCUAGAGUCUUGUAGAGGGGGGUAGAAUUCCAGGUGUAGCGGUGAAAUGCGUAGAGAUCUGGAGGAAUACCGGUGGCGAAGGCGGCCCCCUGGACAAAGACUGACGCUCAGGUGCGAAAGCGUGGGGAGCAAACAGGAUUAGAUACCCCAGUAGUCCCUGUCUCUUAUAC